UAAACACAGAUCACACGCGGAAUAACUCCGAGGAGACGCGUCGCGGUGAUUAUCAAAUGUAUAAUAAUCAUACUACAAGUUAUGGAUGACCACCCUCGCCGUGGAGAGGACAGGACGCGCAUCUGGUCGUGUACAAGCUUCGGGCAGCGGAUAAGCGCUGAUAAUGCGUCAAAACAACAGAAGGGAGGCUGGAAUAUGAAAUAUUACAGAUGAUUGAGACAGGUAAGA